rnacentral:rRNA from 1 species
GAUGAACGCUGGCGGCGUGCCUAAUACAUGCAAGUCGAGCGAACGGACGAGAAGCUUGCUUUUCUGAUGUUAGCGGCGGACGGGUGAGUAACACGUGGAUAACCUCCCUAUAAGACUGGGAUAACUUCGGGAAACCGGAGCUAAUACCGGAUAAUAUUUUGAACCGCAUGGUUCAAAAGUGAAAGACGGUCUUGCUGUCACUUAUAGAUGGAUCCGCGCUGCAUUAGCUAGUUGGUAAGGUAACGGCUUACCAAGGCAACGAUGCAUAGCCGACCUGAGAGGGGGAUCGGCCGCACUGGAGCUGAGACACGGUCCAGACUCCUACGGGAGGCAGCAGUAGGGAAUCUUCCGCAAUGGGCGAAAGCCUGACGGAGCGACGGCGCGUGAGUGAUGAAGGUCUUCGGAUCGUAAAACUCUGUUAUUAGGGAAGAACAUAUGUGUAAGUAACUGUGCACAUCUUGACGGUACCUAAUCAGAAAGCCACGGCUAACUACGUG